rnacentral:rRNA from 1 species
AACGAACGCUGGCGGCGUGCCUAACACAUGCAAGUCGAGCGAGAAAGCCCGCAAGGGUGAGUAAAGCGGCGCACGGGUGCGUAACACGUGGGUAAUCUGCCCUGAAGUCCGGAAUAACUCGCCGAAAGGCAUGCUAAUGCCGGAUAAGACCACGGGAACCUCGGUUCCUGCGGGAAAAGGUGGCCUCUGUACACAAGCUAUCACUUCAGGAUGAGCCCGCGGCCCAUCAGCUAGUUGGCGGGGUAAUGGCCCACCAAGGCUACGACGGGUAGCUUGUCUAAGAGGACGGUCAGCCACACUGGAACUGAGACACGGUCCAGACUCCUACGGGAGGCAGCAGUGGGGAAUCUUGCGCAAUGGGCGAAAGCCUGACGCAGCAACGCCGCGUGUGUGAUGAAGGUCUUCGGAUCGUAAAGCACUGUCGGGAGGGACGAAUAGGGCGCCGGCUAACAUCCGGCGCUGAUGACGGUACCUCCAAAGGAGGCACCGGCUAACUCUGUGCCAGCCGCCGCAGUAAAAC